UAAACUAGAAAUGUGGCCACUCUCCCC
rnacentral:piRNA from 1 species